AUAAAUCAAUGGUCUGGGAUGAGAUGGAUUACUUUUGGCCUUAAAUCCCAUGAAAAAGGUUACAUAUACCCACCGCACGUUUUAAAAAGAAAAAAAAAACCAGUUAAAAUUGAUGUAAAACUACAGUUGUAGCUGAAUGUGCGAGAAAAAUUUGAUGAAAAUCUGCCCGGGAUGCGGACCUAUAAGCACUACACGUGACUUGCUGUCAUGGUGACUUCCUAAAAAGGAGACGUGCUUUGGGGUCCGUACGUCACGACACAGUCGGGUUCGUUGUGAGUUUAUAAACGACGAAGAACGUGUAUUUUCGAUUAACAAUAUUGUGUUGUGAUCUCAUCCUAGUAACAGGUCGGCGGCUUUGUCUUCUGGACUAUGGGAAAUCGUGAUUGAGGAGGCGUUAUUUUGUGUUAUCGCCAUGGUUGGUUCGAGAAGAAAGGGGCAAACGUUUGCUGCCUUCGAGUAAACUUCUUAUCUCAAUCUGUGACUUCGUCUGCUGAUCGAUUGAUGCUACGGCAACGAGAAAUCGACAAAACCUGGUAGAGAAUUAGACGGCGGACAUUUUUUUUUUUUUGCAAAUGGAUAAGUUUGAAAGACUUCAGAAAAUCGGCGAAGGAUCGUAUGGCGUGGUGUUCAAAUGCAGAAAUAAAGAAAAUGGAUCUAUCGUUGCGAUUAAGAAGUUCGUGGAAUCCGAGGACGAUCCUUUGAUAAAGAAAAUUGCCUUGAGAGAAGUUCGUAUGCUCAAGGUUUGUGGUUCAGUGUGUUAAUCGAGUCUUCCUAUAUUACAGAUGUACACAUAUUAGUGUCUCAAAUUUCUUUAAUAAUGUAUAGCUUAAAUGGUUUGAUUGUAGAAAUCUCUUGGUACCUGUACAUGUCUGUAGAUAUUUUGCAAUCGCCGGUGUAUCAGGAACAUUUAAUCUGUAGCAAAGCAGGAAUGUUAAUCUAAUCGAAAAUCAUAGAAAAGUGGAGCUUAAAAAUUAAGCUUUAUAAAUAUGUUAACUCACUAUAAAGUACCUAGAUUUCCGAGAGAUCUGAAGAGUCUUCAUUGUUUACUGCUUUCGUUUUCAAGUGACCGUUUCUGUGUAAGUUUUACCUGUAUUAAUUUUGUCUAGAAUUUGUAACGUAGAGGGACAUCUUCACUGGAAUCAUGUAACAUGUGUGUGCUUGCAAGGUUAAACUGCUGCUCAAAGAUAAUUCUGCAAAA